GCCUCAUCUCCUGCCUCUGGUGGCAGCAGGGGCCGGCUGUGGGAGCCUUGACUGCCGGACCGUGGAACCCAGGCUCAGAGCCUCGGGCAGGCUUUAGGCUGGGGAAUGACGGAUCAGAUUUGCGUGUACGAAGAUGCUUUGGAAGAUAAACUAGAGAUGACUCAGAGGGAAGGAGGCUGCUGUGGACUGAGUUGCGCCCCCAUUUGACGGUGGUAUUUGGAGAAAGAGGUGAUCAGCACGAGAAGGUGGCGUCUGUAAGCCAGGAAGAGGGCUCACCAGGAACCUGACCACGCCGGCCCCCGGACCACAGACCUCCAGCUUCCAGAACGGUGCAGAGUAAACUCCUGGGUUUAAGCCACCCGUCUGUGGGAUUUAAGGGGCCCCCAGCAGACUAAUGCGGAGGCUGAUUGCAGAGUGACCAUGGGGGCCGUGGCCGACGUCCAGGGAGAGGAGGGAGGGGUCUGUGCCUCGCCAGGCCCUGUGCAUUGGCCCCAUCCCACCGGGAUCUUCCCAGGGCGGCCCAGCACGGCAACUGGCUCACCCAUCUGAACCUGUGAUAACAGGUGCCGACAACGCCACGAAUCCUCACUCUGGACACAAGUCAGGUGACCCCGUCAUCCAGGCGAGCUCCUGGGGUGGGUGGGAAGGCAAGCUGUGAAGUGCAGGCGUGGCUCACACGGCCCAGCGCAGGGGCCCGAGGUGGGUGUUCUGUGCUGACUGCAGCCAGGAAGGCAGAGCACGUGGGCAGAGCCGGCCCCACCCACAGCCUCGGGGCCAGGACAAGCGUCCACGUGGAGGCCCACCGUCCACACGCCCAAUUAGGCCGAGUGAGUCAUCAGGGUGUUACCUUCCAACAGGCUGCUAAAGGAAACACGUUCUCUUCUCCAGCCUCAACAAAGACCCUUCAGAACCUCGUGGAAGGCCGGCUCCCCGGUCAGGAUGCUCAGGCUGCAAGGAAGACCAUCAGGCACUGGGAGAAGGGACGGAGGGCAGCUGGGCCCAGACUCCAGCCCCCCAACCUGCCCACCCCAGGCCCGUCCUACGCUGUGAGGACUUUGUGCCUGUGUGUGCAGACAUCCCAAACUGCAUGUCCAAGCUAUGUCCGUCUUCUCAAAACACGGCCCAUGGACACUUUUCGGUCUCAGGGACACACACUCCUGCAGGCUGGUCUGCCCUCAGUCAGGCCCAGGGAUACAUGCCUGCAGGCUGGUCUGCCCUCCAGAAGACAGACCCAGCUCUAAACCCACAUGGGCCACGGGCUAGGCUUGGGGACAUUUGGUGGGGAAUGCCAGGUCCGAGGUACCUGGAACAUGGCCUAAAACCAAGUGUGAGCUUCAGCAUUGAUUCGCUCAAUGAUGCUACGGUUGGAGAUUUGCUGACAGAUCUGUUGGGAAGAAGAGGCCAUCAUUCUAGAAGCUUCCAGGCCACUGGCUGGCGCUAUCUUCACCCGGUGCCUCUGGAGGUGGUCGGUCAGCACAGGCUAGCUUAUGCCAUGGUAACAAGAGCAUCUCCGACUGCCAGGAGUUUGUCUCUCACUGACACUGUGCCCACCGAGGGUUGACGGGGGUCUCCUCACUGUGGUCACCCAGGGGCCCUUCCUGACAGG
rnacentral:lncRNA from 1 species